UACGUAGGUGGCGAGCGUUGUCUGGAUUUACUGGGCGUAAAGAGCGUUGUAGGCGGCCAAACAGGUCCGUUGUGAAAACUGGAGGCUUAACCUCCAGACGUCGACGGAAACCGUGUGGCUAGAGUCCGGAAGAGGAGAGUGGAAUUCCUGGUGUAGCGGUGAAAUGCGUAGAUAUCUGGAGGAAUACCGGUGGCGAAGGCGGCGA
rnacentral:rRNA from 1 species